rnacentral:rRNA from 1 species
AGUCUGAUGGAGCUAACGCCGCGUGAGUGAAGAAGGGUUUCGGCUCGUAAAGCUCUGUUGUUAAAGAAGAACGUGGGUGAGAGUAACUGUUCACCCAGUGACGGUAUUUAACCAGAAAGCCACGGCUAACUACGUGCCAGCAGCCGCGGUAAU